AUAUCGUGCUGAAUAUUCCGGUUCUCCUUCGAUCAUCGAAGUCAAGCAUCAUGGCACGCAGUCAGUACUUGGGUGACCACCUGGAAACACCGUGUGU